rnacentral:lncRNA from 9 species
GCCAGUGGCCCGCGCCCGCAGGCGGCCUCAUCCCAGCCCUCGGACCUCAGAGCCCCAGCCCCCGCCCCUCCCCGCCGCCGGCCCGGGCUCCCUCCGAAGGGCCUGGCCCACUGCACGCUGGCUGGCCUGUCGGCCGGCCGUGACCUGCCCGCUCGCCCCACGGACAGCUGCUCCCCUCCUUCGCCCGGGACCCAAGGCCCGGCCCUUCGGCCGGAUGGAUGGACGGAUAUUGGCCCCGGCAGAUGGACAGGCGGACGGUCGGUCGGCUGCCGGCCGGCUCCUGGAACCUGGGCCCCUCCAUACUACCCAUUUCCUGGGCCCUCCCGAUCCAGGAAACAAGACGGGCGGGGCGUGGGCCGGCCAGGAGCCCUCAAGACAGUCCCGGGGCGCGGCGCCGCCCAGAGGGGGCAAGAACCCGUGUCCCGAGGUAGAGAGAAAAAGCAACGGAGACAAAGCAAGCCGACUGGUCCCCAUGCGCACGCUCCAGCCCGAACGUGCACCCACCUCACCUCACUGUCUCGGGGGGGGGGCUUCUCCUGGCCUGAGAGGGACCUGGCGGGGAAGGCAUCCAAGCGGAAGCGGAAUCCUGACACCUUGGCUGCAGGUCCUGGGCCCCUCCCCCGUCCCCGCCUCUGCCUGGACCCCUCCUCACCUCUCCUCCCUG